rnacentral:misc_RNA from 1 species
GAUGAAGAACGUAGCGAAAUGCGAUAAGUAAUGCGAAUUGCAGAAUUUCCGUGAGUCAUCGAAUCUUUGAACGCACAUUGCGCCCUUUGGUAUUCCGAAGGGCAUGCCUGUUCGAGCGUCAUUAUCACCCCUCAAGCCCUCGGCUUGGUGUUGGACGGUUUGGUGGAGGCCCCCUCGGGGGCUCCUGCCCCUCCCAAAGACAAUGACGGCGGCCUCGUUGGACCCCCGGUACACUGAGUUCUUCACGGGACACGUAUCGGACACAUGGGUUUACGGGACACGGUCUGCCUCCCCUCAGGGAGAAUCUUUCUAAGGUUGACCUCGGAUCAGGUAGGGAUACCCGCUGAACUUAAGCAUAUCAAUAAGCGGAGGA